ACACGACUACAAUUAGAUACCCGGGUAGUCCUAGCCGUAAACGAUACUCGCUAGGUGUCGGCCACGGUGCGACCGUGUCUGGUGCCGCAGGGAAGCCGUGAAGCGAGCCACCUGGGAAGUACGGCCGCAAGGCUGAAACUUAAAGGAAUUGGCGGGGGAGCACAACAACGGGUGGAGCCUGCGGUUUAAUUGGACUCAACGCCGGACAACUCACCGGGAACGACAGCAAUAUGUAGGCCAGGCUGAAGACCUUGCCUGAAUCGCUG
rnacentral:rRNA from 1 species